UACGUAGGGCGCAAGCGUUGUCCGGAAUUAUUGGGCGUAAAGAGCUCGUAGGUGGCGUGUCGCGUCUGCCGUGAAAGCCCAUGGCUUAACUGUGGGUCUGCGGUGGAUACGGGCAGGCUGGAGGCUGGUAGGGGCAAGCGGAAUUCCUGGUGUAGCGGUGAAAUGCGCAGAUAUCAGGAGGAACACCGGUGGCGAAGGCGGCUACCUGGACCGGCUCUGACGCUGAUGCGCGAAAGCCAGGGGAGCAAACGGG
rnacentral:rRNA from 1 species